AAGUCGUAACAAGGUUUCCGUAGGUGAACCUGCGGAAGGAUCAUUAAUACGCUUUUGUUUGUAACAAAACAAAACGUUUUAAACUCCAAAAGAAAUAGUGGAAAUAUAACUUCCGGAUGCGAAUUGUUGGGAACUGAGUAAAAUCGGUUCUUUGAAAAAGGGACUUCAAGUAAUUGACACUUCAGAGUAGAGCAGUGAGGUGAAAUUCUCUUUAAUGAGAGUUUGGUUCUGAAAACAUUUGUAUCCGGUUAUCAUAAUCUGUUCUACAACCUCCAAAAUAUCAAACAAUAAACCCCAUGUACAACAACUUGAACUAAACAUUUUUUUGUCGUCCGCUUACACACUUGUUGUGUGAGAAGAUACUGCAAAGAAAAAACCUGAACUUAAGAACAACUCUUAACAACGGAUAUCUUGGUUCUC
rnacentral:misc_RNA from 1 species